rnacentral:lncRNA from 10 species
CCUCAGUUCAUCCAUGUGAUAUAAGCCACACCCAUUUACAUCUGAGGUCACAACUACUCAUCAGAUUUUGAAUAAUCCUCUUUCUACUGCUUCACAACAGUUCACAAGCCACAACACUUCCAGCAUUAAUUCUUCUUCAACAAACCAGAAGACUCAUUAGGAUCCAUAAUAGCUGCCAGUGUAGAGGAGCCUCAGUUACUUUCACUUUGAUCAUUAUCCCUGGGAGAAGAAGCCAACAGCUCCUGGUGACCACAAUAAGAGAUUUCAUUUUUACCUCUUACGAAGAGCUCAGUGGAACAUUUCUCAUCACCGGCUGUCACAUAAUACUCUGAAUCAUCUGUCAUCUGACAGUUAUUGAUAAACAGGAUUCUCUGGCAUCCUUUGUGUUCAAAGAUGUAUCUGUUUUGAAUAGGAUGAAAAUAAACAGAGUCUGUGAAUGUGA